UGAAUACGAGAUGCUAAGGCGUCGAAGUAGUGUAUGUCAUGCUUCCAAGAAAAGCUUGCAAUGUCAUAAAUGAAAAAUGCCUGUACCAUAACCGACACAGGUGGGUAAGUAGAGUAUACUAAGGGGCGCGAGAUAACUCUCUCUAAGGAACUCGGCAAAAUAACUCCGUAACUUCGGGAGAAGGAGUGCCUUAUUCUUAAGGUUGCAAUAACAAGAUCCAAGCAACUGUUUAUCAAAAACACAGGUCUCCGCUAAGUCGUAAGACGAUGUAUGGGGGCUGACGCCUGCCCAGUGCCAGAAGGUUAAAGAAGUCGGUUAGCAAUUGCGAAGCUGGUAACUGAAGCCCUGGUGAACGGCGGCCGUAACGAUAACGGUCCUAAGGUAGCGAAAUUCCUUGUCGGGUAAGUUCCGACCCGCACGAAAGGCGUAAUGAUUUGGAUGCUGUCUCGGAGAGGGGCUCGGUGAAAUAGACUUGUCUGUGAAGAUGCGGACUACCUGCACCAGGACAGAAAGACCCUAUGAAGCUUUACUGUAACUUGAAAUUGAAAUUGGACUUUAUUCGCGCAGUAUAGGUGGGAGGCGUUGAUUAUAAUCUUGCGGGAUUAUCGGAGCCAUCAGUGAGAUACCACUCUUCUAAUGUUAGAUUUCUAACUUUGAAUCAUUAUCUGGUCAAAGGACAAUCUCAGGCGGGCAGUUUGACUGGGGCGGUCGCCUCCUAAAUGGUAACGGAGGCGUACAAAGGUUUCCUCUGAACGGUUAGAAAUCGUAUCUAGAGUGUAAAGGCAUAAGGAAGCUUGACUGUGAGACCUACAAGUCGAGCAGGGACGAAAGUCGGUCUUAGUGAUCUGACGGUACUGAGUGGAAAGGCCGUCACUCAACGGAUAAAAGUUACUCUAGGAUAACAGGCUGAUCUCCCCCAAGAGUUCACAUCGACGGGGAGGUUUGGCACCUCGAUGUCGGCUCAUCGCAUCCUGGGGCGGUAGUACGUCCCAAGGGUUGGGCUGUUCGCCCAUGAAAGCGGUACGCGAGCUGGGUUCAGAACGUCGUGAGACAGUUCGGUCCAUAUCCGGUGUAGGCGUUAGAAUAUUGAGAGGAGCCUUCUUUAGUACGAGAGGACCGAGAAGGACAUACCUCUGGUGUACCAGUUAUCGUGCCAACGGUAAACGCUGGGUAGCUAUGUAUGGAGUGGAUAACCGCUGAAAGCAUCUAAGUGGGAAGCCCACCUCAAGAUAAG
rnacentral:rRNA from 1 species